rnacentral:rRNA from 1 species
GAACGCUGGCGGCAGGCCUAACACAUGCAAGUCGAACGGUAACAGGAAGAAGCUUGCUUCUUUGCUGACGAGUGGCGGACGGGUGAGUAAUGUCUGGGAAACUGCCUGAUGGAGGGGGAUAACUACUGGAAACGGUAGCUAAUACCGCAUAACGUCGCAAGACCAAAGAGGGGGACCUUCGGGCCUCUUGCCAUCGGAUGUGCCCAGAUGGGAUUAGCUAGUAGGUGGGGUAACGGCUCACCUAGGCGACGAUCCCUAGCUGGUCUGAGAGGAUGACCAGCCACACUGGAACUGAGACACGGUCCAGACUCCUACGGGAGGCAGCAGUGGGGAAUAUUGCACAAUGGGCGCAAGCCUGAUGCAGCCAUGCCGCGUGUAUGAAGAAGGCCUUCGGGUUGUAAAGUACUUUCAGCGGGGAGGAAGGGAGUAAAGUUAAUACCUUGGCUCAUUGACGUUACCCGCAGAAGAAGCACCGGCUAACUCCGUG